GAAGCUGGAAUUGCUAGUAAUGGCAGGUCAGCAUACUGCCGUGAAUACGUUCCCGGGCCCUUGUACACACCACCCGUCACACCAUGAGAGUUGGGAAUACCCGAAGCCUGUGAGCCAACUUUUAAAGAGGCAACAGUCGAAGGUAGAAUCAAUGAUUGGGGUGAAGUCGUAACAAGGUAUC
rnacentral:rRNA from 1 species